rnacentral:rRNA from 1 species
AUGAACGCUGGCGGCGUGCCUCAUCCCUGCAAGUCGAGCGAACAGACGAGGAGCUUGCUCCUCUGACGUUAGCGGCGGACGGGUGAGUAACACGUGGAUAACCUACCUAUAAGACUGGGAUAACUUCGGGAAACCGGAGCUAAUACCGGAUAAUAUAUUGAACCGCAUGGUUCAAUAGUGAAAGACGGUUUUGCUGUCACUUAUAGAUGGAUCCGCGCCGCAUUAGCUAGUUGGUAAGGUAACGGCUUACCAAGGCAACGAUGCGUAGCCGACCUGAGAGGGUGAUCGGCCACACUGGAACUGAGACACGGUCCAGACUCCUACGGGAGGCAGCAGUAGGGAAUCUUCCGCAAUAGGCGAAAGCCUGACGGAGCAACGCCGCGUGAGUGAUGAAGGUCUUCGGAUCGUAAAACUCUGUUAUUAGGGAAGAACAAAUGUGUAAGUAACUAUGCACGUCUUGACGGUACCUAAUCAGAAAGCCACGGCUAACUACGUG